rnacentral:rRNA from 1 species
GAUCCUGGCUCAGGAUGAACGCUAGCCACAGGCUUAACACAUGCAAGUCGAGGGGCAGCAUGGUCUUAGCUUGCUAAGGCCGAUGGCGACCGGCGCACGGGUGAGUAACGCGUAUCCAACCUGCCGUCUACUCUUGGACAGCCUUCUGAAAGGAAGAUUAAUACAAGAUGGCAUCAUGGGUCCACAUGUUCACAUGAUUAAAGGUAUUCCGGUAGACGAUGGGGAUGCG